GCCCUCAUCGUCUAGCGGUUAGGACGGAUCCCUCUCACGGAUCAAACCGGGGUUCGAUUCCCCGUGAGGGUACCA
rnacentral:tRNA from 1 species